GCUUAGGCUACAGAAGAGGCUUGCCUCUAGCAUCCUUCACUGUGGUAAAAAGAAGGUGUGGUUGCACCCCAAUGAAACCAACGAAAUCGCCAAUGCCAACUCCCGUCAACAGAUCAGGAAGCUGAUCAAAGAUGGCCUGAUCAUCUGGAAGCCUGUGACUGUCCAUUCCCGGGCUCGAUGCCAGAAGAACACCUUGGCCCGACGGAACGGCAGGCAUAUGGGCAUAGGGAAGAGGAAGGGUACUGCCAACACUCAGAUGCCCGAGAAGGUGACCUGGAUGUGAAGGAUGCGGAUCCUGCACCGGCUUCUCAGGAGAUACCGGGAAUCUAAGAAGAUUGACCGCCAUAUGUAUCACAGCCUGUACAUGAAGACAAAGGGAAUGUGUUCAAAAACAAGCAGAUUCUCAUGGGGCACAUCCACAAACUGAAGGCAGACAAGGCCCGCAAGAAGCUAGUGGCUGACCAGGCUGAGGCUCGCAGGUCUAAGACCAAGGAAGCACGAAAGAGCCAGGAGGAGCGCCUCCAAGCCAAGAAGGAGGAGAUCAUCAAGACUCUGUCCAAGGAGGAAGAGACCAAGAAAUGACGCUUCCCUCGUGUCUGUACAUAGUGGGCAGGCUGUGGCCUCACGUGGAUCAGACAUUAAAAUAAAACAAGCC
rnacentral:lncRNA from 1 species